rnacentral:lncRNA from 1 species
CUAUUACUACAUACUGCAAAUAAUGUAUUUGAAUGCUUCUUUUUUAAAAAAUUGUGUAUUUUUAAAGCAUUCUGCAAUGAGCAUUUUCUGCCAGCUGUAACAGCUCCAUUAGAUCUGCUUCAGUUUUCUACAGGAUAUUCCCAUGAUAAGAAGAAAGGAGAAUAAUCUGAUAAUAGAAACAAUUGAAUCAUGUCUGCUACCUUGGAUGGCUGCAUAGGAGAGAUCUGUAAGUAUUGUCUCACAUAAUGCUGUAUUAUUUCACUACAGGCUGAUCUGC